CCAGCCUCUUUGAUCCAAUGGCCCUGUUGAAUGAGGAACACCGUCACCCUGAGUUCGCUCUAACUUUCCAAACCGCCGCAUGAAGUCAGUCGGUCCUUGGACCUGACUUGAGCAGGAGCCCGGGGACCAGGGCUCCUGAAUGUGCUGCCGAAGGCCUGGGAUCACCGGGUUAUGAGGGACUUGUGCCACUCGGGUGUCUCCCAACUCGAAUGCAUCUCCAUUUGAAACCCUUCUUGUGCAUCAUCUGUGUUAAGUGUGCGUUUUUCAAGUAGCUCCAGGUUGAUGAAGAAAGGUGCGGAAGCGUUGAAGGACGUAAGACCCAGUGUUUCGGGGGAAGAGUCCGUCAAUCUCCAGGGACCAGGGGGAUGAAAGGAUCAUGUUGCUCCAAUAGACCAGGCAAGCAGGAAGCAUCAAGAGAAGCAAAGAUCUCGGAUUGAAAAGAAUGAGGUCUGUUGGCGCCAAUCACGACAUCGUUGUGGAUCCUUCGGUUGGAUUGAACGCCAUGGUUCCCAGACUCUUGAUGGAAUCAACCACGAGACCCUUUCUACCUUUAGAUUGGUGGCAAGGCGUCCAAUUAGAGGUCGAGAGGGUGAGAUGACGACUAGCAAACCUUGGAGAUACCAUCUGCCAUAUGAUUUCCUGCAUGUACCGUAUGUUGUACCCAUCAUUGUCCUCAGGUCCCUUGUCCCACCAUCAAAGCGUGUUCCUGCUCAGCAACAUCAUUCAAAACCUGAUGAUGGGAUUCCAUUUCGAAAGUUCUGGGAAAAGUGUUUAUCAUUUGCAACUGUUUGAGUUCCAACUCCUCGAAGCACUUCUGCUCUGAAGAUUGAAAUAUUGAAAACUUUGUCGUUGCGGAUUUGCAUAUGAUUCACAUAUUUACCGAUCAUCACUCCUACUCUAAUAUUAUUAUGAUUACUACUGCAACAACAACUACUACUAUUACAUAUAUUGCUAUUGCUGAAACUCCUAACUCUAGGUAUAAGUCUUAUUCUAGUAUGUAAAACAAUUUCAAAGGCAUCACACAAAUAUAUAUCUGACAUUAUCGACUUCAAUGCAAAGAAAACAUCACACAUCAAGAAUAAUAAGAUGAACUGUUUUGACAUGAUUUCUCUUGAAAAAUAUUUCGUGUAAGAAUCAAAUACUGUUACCAUUCCAUGUUUAGUAAGUGUCAUCUGAACCUCCUCUAUGUCAUCAUUGAUUUUUAAUUAAGAUAUGAUUAUUACUUCUUCUACUAUUAACAAUAAUCAAAUCUGCCAUUUCCCAAUCUAUCCUCCAUGUUUCAAAAUAAUGUAUCAGCAUAACCUUCUUUUCCCUUGAAAAUGAAAAAAAAAUCCCCGGAAAUACUUCAAGCCUCCAACCUGAAACCUUCAUUAUUCAAAACCACUACCAUUUCCAACCAAAGUAGUUUUGAUCCCAAUUGCGAUACCACUUUACCACGUUUUCUCUGUUUUAAGGUUUGUAACACAUUAUGAACUUUUUCAUGCCAAUAAACUUAUCUCCCUUUAUUUCCAAAAAGAAAA